UACGGGGGGAGCAAGCGUUGUUCGGAUUUACUGGGCGUAAAGCGCGUGUAGGCGGCUCUGUAAGUCGGGUGUGAAAUCCCACGGCUCAACCGUGGAAGUGCACUCGAAACUACAGGGCUAGAGUCCUGGAGAGGAAGGUGGAAUGCUUGGUGUAGAGGUGAAAUUCGUAGAUAUCAAGCGGAACACCGGUGGCGAAGGCGGCCUUCUGGACAGUGACUGACGCUGAGACGCGAAAGCGUGGGGAGCAAACAGG
rnacentral:rRNA from 1 species